rnacentral:tRNA from 1 species
GCGGAUGUGGUGGAAUCGGCAGACACGCUAUCUUGAGGGGGUAGUGAGCAACGCUCAUAUGGGUUCAAGUCCCAUCAUCCGCACCA